rnacentral:rRNA from 1 species
UACGUAGGUGGCAAGCGUUGUCCGGAUUUAUUGGGUUUAAAGGGUGCGUAGGCGGCCCCGUAAGUCAGUGCUGAAAUAUCCCGGGCUUAACCGGGAGGGUGGCAUUGAUACUGCGAGGCUUGAGUAAAGUUGAGGUAGGCGGAAUUGACGGUGUAGCGGUGAAAUGCUUAGAUAUCGUCAAGAACACCGAUAGUGUAGACAGCUUACUAAGCUUAACUGACGCUGAGGCACGAAAGUGUGGGGGAUCAAACAGG